UCACAGCGGGGCUGCUCCACAGAGACCCCUUGGAUUAGAAGAAAGGUUUCCACGACGGCUACUCUCAAGAGAAGAAUGCAAGAAACUGCAGGGGGGGCUUGGGACUCAAACUUCCAGGUCUGAACCAUCAGAAGUGAAUCUCUGAAGCAAAGGAGGAGGGUGGCCUGGAAAAGACAACACGGAGGGGAGAGACAGAAGCCUCCUGGGGACAGCACGGGCUUGUGGGGAAGGCCAGAGUCGGUCACCGCAUAUGGCCCCUCACACCUGCCCUCAUUCACCUGUCCUCACCCACCUGUCCUCACCAACCUGCCCUCACACACCUGUCCUCACUCACCUGUCCUCACACACCUGUUCUCACUCACCUGCCUCACUCAUCUGUCCUCCCCUACCUGUCCUCACACACCUGUCCUAACCCACCUGUCCUCACACACCUGGCCUCACUCAUCUGUCCUCACCCACCUGUCCUCACUCACCUGUCCUCACCCACCGGUCCUCACCCACCAAUCCUCACUCACCUGUCCUCACCCACCUGUUCUAACUCACCUGUCUUCACCCACUGGUCCUCACGCAUCUGUCCUCACUCACCUGUCCUCACCCACCUGUCUUCACUCACCUGUCCUCACACACCUGUCCUCACACACCUGUUAUCUUCACUCACCCCUCACACACCUGUCCUCACUCAAAUUUUUCACUCACCUGUCCUCACCCACCUGUCCUCACAUACUUGUCCUCACUCACCUGUUCUCACCCACCUGUCCUCACUUACCUGCCCUCACACACCUGUCCUCACUCACCGGCCCUCACUCACCUGUCCUCACCCACCUGUCCUCACUCACCUGUCCUCACCAUCUGUCGUCGCACACCUGUCCUCACUCACCUGCCCACACACACCUGUCCUCACUCACCUGCCCUCACUCACCUGUCCUCACUCAAAUUUUUCACUCACCUGUCCUCACAUACUUGUCCUCACUCACCUGUUCUCACCCACCUGUCCUCACUUACCUGCCCUGUCCUCACUCUCCUGUCCUCACUCACCUGUCCUCACCAUCUGUCCUCACAUACCUGUCUUCACUCGACUGCCCUCACACACCUGUCUCACUCACGUGUCCUCACCCACCUGUCCUCACUCACCUGUCCUCCACCUGUCCUCACACACCUGUCCUCACACACCUGUCCUGACUCACCUGUUCUCACCCACCGUUCCUCUCUCACCUGUCCUCACUCACCUGUCCUCACCCACCUGUCCUCACCCACCAGUCCUCACCCACCAGUCCUCACACACCUGUCCUCACACACCUGUCCUGACUCACCUGUUCUCACCCACCGUUCCUCUCUCACCUGUCCUCACUCACCUGUCCUCACCCACCUGCCCUCACUCACCUGUCCUCACACACCUGCCCUCACACACCUGUCCUCACACACCUGCCCUUACUCACCUGUCCUCACACACCUGCCCUCACACACCUGUCCUCACACACCUGUCCUCACACAGCUGUCCUGACUCACCUGUCCUCACCCACCAUUCCUCACUCAUCUGUCCUCACUCACCUGCCCUCACCCAUCUGUCCUCACUCACCUGUCCUCACACAGCCCUGGUGAACUCACCUGAGCUCUCGAUUGAGGGGGACAGCACAAUAGGAAAUGCAAGCUUAGCCUCCUUUGUGAGAACAUGAAAACCAACAUUAGGGAGUAGGGGGACCUGGGGAAUGAGUUGCAGAUAGACCCCCGGGGCUAUUCAAAUCGGCCAUUUUGUCCCCAGUAGGUCCUAGGAGACGAGCU
ensembl:lncRNA